GACGGAGGGGGCUAGCGUUGUUCGGAAUUACUGGGCGUAAAGAGCGCGUAGGCGGUUUGGUAAGUUGGAAGUGAAAGCCCGGGGCUUAACCUCGGAAUUGCUUUCAAAACUGCUAAUCUUGAGUGUAGUAGGGGAUGAUGGAAUUCCUAGUGUAGAGGUGAAAUUCUUAGAUAUUAGGAGGAACACCGGUGGCGAAGGCGGUCAUCUGGGCUACAACUGACGCUGAUGCGCGAAAGCGUGGGGAGCAAACAGG
rnacentral:rRNA from 1 species